AGGGAUGUAGGUAGACAUUUCACAUCACAGCUUUGGUGGAGCUCCUAGUGAGCACUCGGAAUCAAUGGGGACGAGAGCAAGAAUGAUUCAACAUGCUUCCAGCACUGGCUAUGAAAGAAAGCUCGAGAGAGAUUGCCCAGCUAGAUGGACACCAGAAUCUGAGAAGCUGAUGCAACAUGACCAGCCCCCUCAGAUUCCUGCUGCUGCGGCUUCACUGCUAUAAUGGACUGUAACCUGGAACUGUGAGUUCAACCGGAUUGCCGAGGCUGCCGGGAGUCUUGAAGAACGUCUCCCGAUGUCUCCGUUGGAUGCUCUUGGGAGUCGCCGGUGCAGGGGACUAAACAGAGGAGAAGCAGAAGGGAGAUGAUGUUUUGCGCUCCAAGAUGGGGACCUUUUCCUGCCAGGUGUCACUAAGCUGCC
rnacentral:lncRNA from 1 species